rnacentral:rRNA from 1 species
CAGUCGACGGGAAAUCUUUCGGGUAUUUCUAGUGGCGAACGGGUGAGUAAUACGUAGGUAACCCACCUGUAAGACGAGGAUAGCCAUUGGAAACGAUGGAUAAUACUGGAUAGGACAAUGGAGAAAGCAUUUUAGAUUGUUUAAAGGGAGGAAUCCGCUUACAGAGGGGCCUGCGGCGCAUUAGCUAGUUGGUAAGGUAAAGGCUUACCAAGGCGAUGAUGCGUAGCCGGACUGAGAGGUUGAACGGCCACAAUGGAACUGAGAACGGUCCAUACUCCUACGGGAGGCAGCAGUAGGGAAUUUUCGGCAAUGGGGGGAACCCUGACCGAGCAACGCCGCGUGAACGAAGAAGUUAUUCGUAAUGUAAAGUUCUUUUAUUUGCGAAGAAGAAAGUGACGGUAGCAAAUGAAUAAGCUCCGGCUAACUACGUGCCAGCAGCCGCGGUAAUACGUAGGGAGCGAGCGUUAUCCGGAAUUAUUGGGCGUAAAGGGUGCGUAGAUGGCACAAAAAGUCUUGUGUAAAAAUGCUAGGCUCAACCUAGUAGAGCAAAAGAUACUUUUGAGCUAGAGUAUGGCAGAGGCAAGUGGAACUACAUGUGUAGCGGUAAAAUGCGUAAAUAUAUGUAAGAACACCAGUGGCGAAGGCGGCUUGCUGGGCCGAUACUGACAUUGAGGCACGAAAGCGUGGGGAGCAAACAGGAUUAGAUACCCUGGUAGUCCACGCCCUAAACGAUGAGUACUAAGUGUUGCCGGAAGGCAGUGCUGAAGUUAACGCAUUAAGUACUCCGCCUGAGUAGUACGUUCGCAAGAAUGAAAC